CGAUGAUGGCGAAGAAGCCGGUGUGGUCAUGGGAAACCACAGUGCGGUUCGCGUACCAAUCCCGAAUCUGCUUGUCCAGGCGGUCGUUCUCCUUCUCCAGAGUGCGCACCUUCUGCAGGUAGGAGGCAAGGCGGUCGUUCAGGUUCUGCAUGGUGGCCUUCUCGUUGGCUCCAACGUGGAGGUCCAAGCCAUCAGCCAGGUUGAAAGGUUUGUAGCUGCUCUGGGAUGUGGAGAUGCGAGUGCCGCUCCCGCCGGCGCCACCGUAGACGCUCAUGGUCCUCUGGCCGUAGGAUCUGGUGCUGAGAGACAUGAUGGACGGCUGGGAUCUGGUGCAGGUGUUGGAGUCAAUCUGCAGUUGUCGGCAUUAGUGCCUGACCAGCUUAUAUAGCUGAUGCCUGAACAGAAGGAGGAGCAAAGAAUUGCACAUGAAAGAGAGGAAUGCAGCUGCCCCUCACACAUCUCAACCUUUGCAUUAACACGGGUGUGGUGGGUGGUGGGCCAGGGCUCAGCUGCCGUGUCUGCAGGUCAAACCCGUGAUUCCACAUUUCCAUAUGAAAAAAACAUUCUUCAAAUAGUCCUCCGCUCGUUUUUUCAUCCCCAUCCUGUGUAAUUUUCACAUUCCUGCUCCGUCCCACCACAAAGACUGACGUUGGUCAUAAUUCAGAGCCGCGGGACAAAAAUCGUAGACGGGACAGCUCAGCCAAGUGUUUGCUCCCCUCCUGCUCACUGCAGUGACAGAAUCGACACAUACCAGUGACAAUUCGUCUCAGUGAAACUGUGAGGCAAAAGGUUAAAGAUGUCUGUAAAAUGGAUAUUUUUGGCUCAAAAGAGAGGAGAACUUUCAACACUGAGGUGCAUCCAAACGUCAGACUGCCCACCUACUCCUUAUGGCAUCAUUGCAGCGUCACUUCAUUUGUAAUGGACCCAACAUAUACAAGCUUGCAGAGGUCCAGUUUUUGUCCACCAUUUUUGAAGCAUAUGAAGUUUCAUAACUUCAUUACGUGACAUGCAUUAUGUGACAUUAUUAUAUAUACAUUAUUAUGACAUGCAUCAUGGAUAAAUCUGUUUUUCUUAAAAAACCGAAGGGAUACAACAUGUAUAUGAAAGUUAAAAAAAACAUGCAGUAUGUGACUGUACAACAAUCUCAAAAACAUACAGUGAAUGAAUGUACUUCUUAAUGCAUUUGUUCACAAGGUACAUGGUAAAUGAAGACUAAUAUGAGCUUUUUGCUGUUAAUGGUAAAUACUCUGUCUUUGAGGGGGUCGCAUGAUCAUCUGUCUGUUAGCAAAAUAGCUCAGGAAAUGCUGAUGAGGGGACGAGGAAGUUCAUUCUGGUUCCAAACUACCAUCUGGAUUCAGGAUUUGUCAGUGACGUCUUUGCCCUCUGCAUCUCGCCUUGCUUGGCACAGAACUUCCACAACUUUGACUGCUUGCUGCUUGUGAUGCCAUCAGUGUAGAUGCAAUGCUGUGGCCGAGUUCAGAUUUCUGCUGUGAGCCUUGUUGUUGCACUGUACCUUGUGAAGCCAAACUAACUAACAAAACACCAGCGAUAUCAAAUCGCAUCUAAGUUAGCCCAUUUCAUUUUUUUUUUUGAUAAACCAAUGGAUCUACUUGGCUUUGUUUUCUGUUUUGUCUAUAUUUAGGUUGCAUAUUGAUAUGAAAAAACAAGUUCAAGUGAUGGAGGGCUGCUGCUCUGUACAAGGGUUCGUGAGUACAACCAAUACACACCAUCAAUGUGCAGAUUCAUGUUUUUCUCUCCUCAUGUUGUCAGGAUGUGUAAAGAGAUGUCCCCAAAAAAACACACACUUGUGCACCCGCUCCGUUCCACACAUUGUUCAUCAUGUUCAGGUUCAUGUUCAAAAAUAAUCCAAAUAUUAUUGUUAUCAUAUGUGUUCAUCCAGAUUAGAAGUUAUUUUAAAGAGACUGGUUUUGGAAACAUCUUCAGCCUGUCUGGCAGAAGAGGCUUUUAUUCAUGUGAAAAACACACACACGUUCUGAAUGGUUUUUUUUAUAUAUAUGUAUGUUGUUUCCUAAUGUUAUUAAAAGUCACCUUAAAUGAUCAAUGACUCCUCUUGUGAGAUGAGCUGAAACCAUAGCUAGAGUUGAGCUGAAACCAUAGAUAAAUAAAUCAAAUGAAUUACAGGUUUGUUGAUCCGUAGCCUUAUCUGACUCUCCGAUCAAACCGUUUGUGGUUGUUUUCCACCACUGCUAUCUUGUUUGGCGACAUCGCCCAACUGCUGGCUCUCCUCCUUCUGUCAUCAUUUCUCAACUGCUGUUGUCACUCAGAUCUGAUAAAAGAGGAGACAACAGAUGAUCAGAUGGUGACUGAAAGACGGAACUAUGUGAACCACGUCUGCGGGACGCUUGACUGGCAGUCGCAGCAGGUGAAAUGAUUUAUUUUUUUGUCGCGUCUGUGUGAACGAAACAAUUAACUGAACAAAUAUUUGAACCCGUGAGCCUCAUCAUUCUGGUCAUUAGGACUGCGGUACAGAGACGCCCACCCCCCACCAAAAAAAAUAAAAAAAUAAAAAAAUAAAACAAGUUCUGACGGACUGUGAGGAACCCCAGGGAGCACCUGUACACACUUGGUUUUCCUCGCACAAGCUGAAACAACACUUGGGUUACUUGAGUUCUUCUGCAAAGGCACACGCCAAACCUCCAGCUGGAUUCAAACCGGCUCCAAGAUUUUGGGCUCAAAGACCAGGAAUUGAAAUCAGAAUGUGCAAUUGUUUAAUGGGGAACGCACAGUACAUUUGACAAAAUAUUGCCAAAGCUGUAACUUUAACCGACCCCCGGAUAGGAGACCAGUACCGGUCCGUGGAUCAACUCGUCCCGGGCUGCACAAGAAAUAAUUAAUUAUUUGCGUUUUGUGUAUGAUCUGAGUCCGAAGGAUCUUUUAUUUUGAAAAAUGACCGGAUUCUCUCAGUUAAGCCUCGGUCACUUUCGAGCCAAAAUGUAACCCACAUGCUCGCAAAAUGAGUAGGAAACACCUGUUUCUUUGAAAGGGGAAAAGGUUCAGUGAAGAGAUAGAAGAGCCUACGACGUCCAAGAAGAUGGCAGUUUUUAACAAACAAUACCAGGAGUCGUUUUUGAAAUAUGGAUUUAUCGCAGUCGUCUACCGUCACUCCCAGAUGGGACUGUCUCGUAGCAGAGAAACAAGCUCAGGGCUCCCAGUAUUUAACAAAACAGUGAGUUCGAAUUUUCAUGCACUUUAUAUUCGGUGUUGUGCUGUAUCUACAUGCAGUUUUGAAGGCAUGUUUGCCAUGCCAUAGCGACCAGAGUCAGAGAGUGUAAGGGCAGUGGUUGAGAGGAGGAGAGUUUGUGAGUUCUUUGCGGGCACACAAACAUGCUGAGGACUUACAUGACGGCUCAAAGUGGCAACUUCAUACCCCCCGGGCCACGUUCCAAUCAUCAAGUGUUGACCGGUCCGCAGUGAUAAAAAGGUUUGGAACCACUGCAUCAAGGGACUUGAAGUACAUAUGAGUCGUUGGUGUCCUUUUUACUUGCGUGAAGAAACCAUGUCGAGAGCUACUGAAAUUAUCAGACCACUGCUGUUGAGGUUGACACACCUGACAUUUUUUCUCAAUUUUCGUCCAUGAUGGGCCCAUCAGGAGGCCGAUCCCAGCGACUAGGCGUGAGAGGCCAAGGUCGCCCGGGACAGGUCACACGCUCACAUCUAUGGACAAUCGUCCAUUGACUUGAGCAUGAUUUUGGACGGCAAGAGAUGGGACCACCCAGAGUUUAUGUAUUACUUCACAAACAUCCCGUGUAACUGCAGUUCAGCCCAGUCUCUCUCAGGAAGCAGAAACCUGAUCCACCCGAGACGCUUGAACGACUUGAGCGAUUUGUCCGAGGAGGAAUUUUCUUCGGCUCACUGUAGUAAACAGCCUUUGUCCCCAGACAACAAGAAUGUUGCCCUGCUUGUUUUUUUUUUUUCUAAACACGGAGACGUGCCAGGUGACCGUGUAGGCGUAUUAACACACCUUCAUGUUCACAUUCCUGAACAGCAAUAACCUGUGUCUGCAUCAUACAGUGACAGGUGUUCAUUCAAAAAUGACAAUCCAUCGUGGCAACACGCAGGUGGCAGGUGGGCUUUUCCUGCAUUGAUCCAGCCAUCGAGAGUGAGGAGGACAGAACCGGAACGUUCCACCAGAUUUUCUGAGCCGGCCUGAGGUGCAUGCCUGUGCACAGCGUCCGGGAGAGAUCAUGCUCCCCUCAUCAUUUCCAGUAGUGAAUUAUUUUCUUCUCCUGAGGUCCUUACGUCUUUCUUUUGCUGCAGCGAGUGCCUCUGUCGCCUAUGACAAGGAGAAACAGUACAUUUGUGGUAUUUCCCUUUAUGUCAAUGAGGUAAAAGGCAGGAGGCAGAGCUGGAGGUAGCGGAGAUGAAGAUGCCGAGGUUCUCUUUGGGAGUGAGCAGGAUGGAUAGGAUCAGGAAGCAGUAGAUCAGAGGGACAGCACAUGUCGGGAGUUUAGGAGACAAAGCCAGAGAGGCCAGAUGGAGAUGGUUUGAACAUGUACAGAGGAGAGAGAGCCAGUACAUUGGUAGGAAGAUGUUGAGGUUGGAACUGCCAGGCAGAAGGUGGAGAGGAAGGCCAAAGAGGAGAUUGAUGGAGGUGGUGAAGGAGGUCAUGAGGUUUGUAGAGGAGGAGGAGGAGGAUCCGCUGUGGUGACCCCUGAAGGGAGCAGCCAGAAGAGAAAGAAGAAGAAGGAGUCAAUGAGACCACGUCUGGAGACAGAUGCUCCAUCUGUGUCUCCUCCACCGCUGCUGGAAGCUGCUCUCUCCUCCUGCUCGUCCACACCAUCACCACCAUUCAGUUCUGUUGGAGCUCAUGAACCAGUGGAUGUCACAAGUCUGAUUCCAGUCUCUAUAGUGGAGACUGAGGAUCAUCCGCCACACGUGUGUUUUGUUUCCACUGCCACCAGAACAGUUCAGCUCCAGUCUCUCUCCCACAAAGUGGAAGAUAAACUCAGACAGUACUUAGAAACGACACCUGUGCUGCUGCUUCUCCGGGAAGUAGUAGAAGAAGCCAACAGGUCUGACACCUGUGAGCAGAAGAGAAGGCUUGUUCUUUACCAGCUGGUGUAUGUACUCUGAAGACGUUCCAUUGUCUAUUAAAGAUAAUUCUUCUGUUCCGCAUGUCUCAAAUGCCCACUGAACAGCAGCAGCAUGGUGUUUGACUCCUGCUUCAUGGGCUCAAUCUCAGCACCAUCAUCAUGUGAGCAACAUCAGACAAAGUCAACAAAACAUUAUUAUUACUCUGAAGAUAUAAAUUAGACAGAUUCAUAGUCUUUUUUUUUUUUUUGCCAUGUACUUGAUCUUAAGACGAGUCACGCCUUAGAAAGGUUUGAAAAUAGGUGGAUCACACCCUCUUGUGGUUGCUCUAAGAACACCAUCCAUAUGACAGCCAGUUUAUAUGAAUGUUAUAUCUCAAAUGAAAAGUUCAGUGUAAAUAAAUUGUCCUCCUAAAUGCCUUUCACCACCCUCACUUCUAAGAUGCUCUCAGGUCCUCAUGAAGCACACUUCCUCUCAUCAUCUCAGGUACUAUAUAAAAGUCUACUUAAAGCCCAGCACUCACGUUGAAUUUAAAUAGUAAUUUUGUUUGUGGUUGUUUCAUUG